GUGCGUCCGGCACCCCCAUGGAAGCAAAGAUGGGUCGGGGUGCAUUCAUGACCACCACUGGAGCGGGUUGUGGUGCGUCCGGGACCACCACCGGAACAGGAUCGGAUUGGGGUGCAGCCGGCACUUCGGUCUUCAGCCCUGAUUCAUUUGGUAAGUAUUGUUCACGUUUUUCUUUUUAAAUGAAAUGCUUUAAAUAUGCUCUUAUUUACUACUUUAAAUGUGGUUUACUGUUGUUUAAACAUACGUGUUACGAUCAUUGUAGAGCUUAAUGUGACAAAUGUUCAUUGGUUAGUCGUAGCAUAUGGCGAGCUGUUCAAACCAAAAUGUAUUUCUGCCCGUAAGUUACGACAGUGAAGACUUUUUUUCAGAGGUAGAAAUGAUCUGUUAUGCUGCAAUCACACUAAACGUGAUCCGUGAGUGAAAUUCGCAUCAGAGCCCUCUGUUUGUGGCUAAAGUUUGCUGCUGGACACAUGUCCAAAACUGUCACAGACUCAAAGCCUCUAACGGUUGUGUGGGAGGAGUUAACGCCAAAGGUUUUAAGCCUGGUUGCUACAUGGAAGCAUUGGGUUGUGAAUGCAGCUUCAAGCUUUUUCAAAUCACUGAUCUCCAUUUUAAAAUGUUUUUUUGUAAAAAUCAAUCAAUCAAUGUGCUCUUGUUGUGUUCAGUGUUUCACUGCCAGGUAGACGCCAAGGCCAGCCAGAUACUGAACUUCAAAGAGUUCACCAGAAAGUCACCAUUUCACCAGAAAAGAGCUGUCAGUGGGUGAGUUUUAUACUUAUUUAAUAUAUUCAUCCUGAACUAUUACCAUUGUUAGAUUUAUACGGCAGCAUGGAAAUAUUUAUGCACAUUUUAACUAGCCAAAGGUCUAAAUAGAGUUAAAAUUAUUUACAAUUUGCUUAACAUAUUUUAAUUGCAGGCUGAAGGUGGCACAUUGGAAUGGAGGUGUAAGUUGUGUUCUGUUACUUUAGCAGUAUUACUACAUAGACAAUAUUCCAAAGUGUCUCCACAGACAUGGCAGUGGAGACACUUUGGAAUAUUGUCAUGUCUCUAUUACAGUUGCAUUAGCACCUUUCCAUCAUUUGAAACCAUGGAAGCUCAUCUGUCCAGAUCUCAUAUGGAUUCAUGUAGAGUAGAUGCAGUCAGAGGAAAUUGUGCAGUUUUUACAUGUUUUUUGUGCCACUUAAAGCUGUCCUUUUCUGAGACUAAGUGAAUUUCUACUUUGCAUGAUUCAAAAACAGAUAACAAAUCAUUUGUAAACAGCUGUAAGAAGCCAUGGUGUAACUUGCCUUAAAAUGACUUUGGGUCUUUGACCUGAGGGGGAUUAUGCCAUAAACACUGCAUUGUCAUCUCACUAGAAAUAGCCAUCUAGAAAAUAUAUAAUUUUAUUAUUUCUCAAAGUACCUUAAAUAAAUAUUAGAAGUGUUUUCUUUGCAUUUGCGUCAAUGGUAAUGAUUUUUUUUGUUCUUUUAGGAUCAGCGUGAUGUGAACAUGAGAUGGGCACUUGUCCUCCUUGCACUUCCUGUUUAUCUGCAUGAAAAUGCCUCCAACUUCUUCCAGACCUGUUCUGAACGUGUCCAUGACUCCCUGUCAAUGCUUUUGUCAAAUCAUUAAACUGAAACUCAUCAUCAUUCAAAUAACAAAAGGAGAACAACAAGGAGGACUGGUUUAUAUAAUUCUGCAAACUGACAGGUAGAAAAAACUUAGCCAAAAUGGAAUGGAAAGUUUGACGCAUUAACUAUUACUGUCCCACCCUGUCUAUAUUUUUACUAUUAUAAUCGUUCCUAAUGGUCUUUUAAUUAUGAUUAUGCCGUUUUAAGCCAAAAUCAACAAGCAUAUGUCGUCCUUUAAAGAUAUUUUUUUCAGCAUUACUGCAAUUUCAGGACUAAUGAGCACACCUGAAAUUAAGCUGCACCCGGCAAAUUUAAAAAGAAAAAGAUAAUUGCACAUAUAGAGGCCACAUGUUUUAUAAGCCACAAAUGUCUACAUUGUAAUAUAGGAUAUUUACACUAUGAACAGUGGCUUUUUAAAUUGACGUCCAGCUGCGCUGCUAUGACUGAGAUCAGCGUAAUAAAAAGUCAAAAUAAACAUUGACGUGUUUUGAUAUUCUAAUGAUUAAAAUUUUAAUGAGUGACAUAAUAAAUACGUCAAUUGUUUGUAGUUUGUAAACUGAGUGAUUUUUAAAUAGUUUUAAAAAUGAGGCAGAAGAUGAAAGGCGAUCAUCAGGGAGAAGGAGCGGGAACUUUUUCUUUUACGCCAAACAGCAGCAAAGACAUGAAAACUCCACAGCGUUUUAGCUGAAGGUGUGGGGAUGGAGCUAUCUGCCAGGACUUUAAUUGUAGGAAAAGGCUGAUCCGACCAUUAUUUUGGAUCGGGAGCAACUGGAUUUUUCAAAAUCAACAAACACCAGCAUUGUCUAAAAACUGCAGGAACAUUGCGAACUGCUGAGCACUGCAAAAGUCCUGCCCGCUCGCCGCUGUUACGGGAGGUGGAGUCCACUCCGGUGACGAGUGAGACUUUCACGGUGCUCCACAGUUCCUGCAAUUUUUAGACAAUGUUGCUCCUCACUGUUCUUAAACAUCCUCCGCCUCCAAAGUAAAAUAAUGAUGGGUUUCCUCCAUAUUGGAUUUCUCCCUCCACCUGCCACAGUGGGUCCUCUCUAUGGAAGCGAUUAUGUAGCAUAAAUAAAAAGCAAAGUCAAAACCAGAAAUGCUUUUUAAUUUUCAAAAUGAAGCUGCAUUUUUUGACUCAU
rnacentral:lncRNA from 1 species